AGCGAACGCUGGCUGCAGGCCUAACACAUGCAAGUCGAACGGCUCUUCGGAGCAGUGGCGGACGGGUGAGUAACGCGUGGGAACGUGCCCUUUGGUUCGGAACAACACAGGGAAACUUGUGCUAAUACCGGAUGUGCCCUUCGGGGGAAAGAUUUAUCGCCAUUGGAGCGGCCCGCGUUGGAUUAGGUAGUUGGUGGGGUAAUGGCCCACCAAGCCGACGAUCCAUAGCUGGUCUGAGAGGAUGAUCAGCCACACUGGGACUGAGACACGGCCCAGACUCCUACGGGAGGCAGCAGUGGGGAAUCUUGCGCAAUGGGCGAAAGCCUGACGCAGCCAUGCCGCGUGAAUGAUGAAGGUCUUAGGAUUGUAAAAUUCUUUCACCGGGGAAGAUAAUGACGGUACCCGGAGAAGAAGCCCCGGCUAACUUCGUGCCAGCAGCCGCGGUAAUACGAAGGGGGCUAGCGUUGCUCGGAAUUACUGGGCGUAAAGGGCGCGUAGGCGGACAGUUAAGUCAGAGGUGAAAGCCCAGGGCUCAACCUUGGAAUUGCCUUUGAUACUGGCUGUCUUGAGUUCGGGAGAGGUGAGUGGAAUGCCGAGUGUAGAGGUGAAAUUCGUAGAUAUUCGGCGGAACACCAGUGGCGAAGGCGACUCACUGGCCCGAUACUGACGCUGAGGCGCGAAAGCGUGGGGAGCAAACAGGA
rnacentral:rRNA from 1 species